AUGAGGGUCAGGAAUUCAAAGUCAUCUUUGGCUGUGUAAUGAGAUUGAAGUAAACCUCCCUCGAGAAGAAAAAUGAGGAAGAAAAAGGAGGAGGAAGAAAGAAAGAAAGAAGCAGAUAAAUAAAUAAAGACAGAGACUUCCUGCUGGACUGAUCUUCUGAGACAAAGUGUGACCCUUGGUCUCUUCCAAUGGAUGAUGGAACGCCAUCUCAUCCUCUGACCAGAGGAUCAAAGACUGCCCCAAAAGUCCCAUACUGGAUCCAUGUGUUGCACCCUAGGCUGGAGCAGAUAAAAUGGAUCAGGAAGGGACAACAGCUCUGCCAGCUCCCAGCCAUAAUGCUGUCCCCAAUGGCUUCAGUGACAGAGGCAGCAGUGGGGGGAUGACAGGUCACAUGAAGAGGAGCAGCAAGGUGCUCCAGGAGCCCCGUCAGCAUCCCCACCUCCUUCCUCAGUGUCUAGGCUGAGGCUGAAACCUGACUUCCCAGGGCCAAUCUCUGCCUAUGAACCUCUGUGCACGUAAGAGCUGUGAAUUAACCUCUCUGGUCUCCGAGCCUCUCCCCAAGGCAACGAUUACCACAGACCCCACUUUCGCAAACACUUUUGAAUCCACAAGACUUCAGCACUCUGCAGCUGUGGUUACUAUUCUCCAGAGUCCUGAUCUGCUGUCCCAAAUUCCCCAACACUAGGCACAGACGGCUCUGAUAAAACUGCCGAACAGCU
rnacentral:lncRNA from 1 species